rnacentral:misc_RNA from 1 species
GAUGAAGAACGCAGCGAAAUGCGAUAAGUAGUGUGAAUUGCAGAAUUCAGUGAAUCAUCGAAUCUUUGAACGCACAUUGCGCCCCUUGGCAUUCCGGGGGGCAUACCUGUUCGAGCGUCAUUUCAACCCUCAAGCACAGCUUGGUGUUGGGACUCGCGUUAAUUCGCGUUCCCCAAAUUGAUUGGCGGUCACGUCGAGCUUCCAUAGCGUAGUAGUAAAACCCUCGUUACUGGUAAUCGUCGCGGCCACGCCGUUAAACCCCAACUUCUGAAUGUUGACCUCGGAUCAGGUAGGAAUACCCGCUGAACUUAAGCAUAUCAAUAAGCGGAGGA